rnacentral:lncRNA from 1 species
GAGCCACCUCCCUGAGGCCGCUGCAUCGCUUCCUUACAGCAGUCAACCACAGACUUUAAUUAAUACAAUAAGGUACAGACAACAGGGUGCCACGGACAUUUAGGCCCAAGGAAUAUUAUGCAAAAGCAGUGUUUUAAGGGAGUUUCACGUGACAGACCAGCAGAUUACACUGAACAAAGAAACAAGAAGUGAUGUUGUCCCUGCCUGGAAAUGAACUUGGGGAGGAGAGAGGGAGAAUUAUUCACAAAAUCUCCUUCCCCAAACAGUCAACACCCAGAACCAACAUGGAGCUCCUACCCCACUGGGACCUGCUGACUGAAUUCUUUCUGAGACCCAGUAAGGAGAACUGGUUCCGGCAGCUGAGAAGCCAGGCUGUCUGCUAACGGCCUACAAGGGGCUCUCUCGCUGCUGUUAGGGCUGGUCUGCUCUGUGUCCGUGGUCCAGUUGGGUACAACAAACCCAUUCACUCAACAGUGCCAGAGACCCCUCUGGAGACUGGGGAAGCAGCUUCCUUGUGGUCGAGAGCUGUGCAGCCGGGACAGGAGCCUGCAUUCGUUAUCACACAUCACGGCCUUCGGCUUGGCUGGGGGCCAGGUGGGCAUGGAUGCUGGCAUGCCCACAGGCAGAUCUCAGCUUUCCAGUGAGGUAGCAGCCUGCCGCACCAAGACUCAGGGCUGUCAUGAGGAAGAGCCCCUGGGACCCCCAGCAUCCUCGCGAACUCCCUGGGGCUUCAUCAUGGCCCAUGCGCAGCACACGGCAGACAACCGGUUCAGCAGUCCCUGGAGCCCACGUGCCUCCCCUUCCUUUUGCCUUGGCUCCCUUAUGCCCACCCACCAGCUCUUCCAGGCUCCAAAGGGGAAGUUGAAGAAGAAUCUGGUACCUGGCCCAGCUGCCAAGCCCCAAGAUCACACAGCCCUAGAACCCUGCUGCCAAGUCCGUCUCGGGGGACCUAGGAGAGGAAGUCCGCCAGCCUGGGAAGCUGCCUCUCCAGCCUUGGCCAAGCACCACCUGGCAAACUGCAGCUGAAAUGCCGAGCACACUACAGGGGGAUACCCCCUCCACCCCAGCCCUGCUGAGAAGCCCAGCCGCACUCUUGAUCUCCCUGAAAUCCUUGAAUCUAGGUCAAGGGUGGUGCUAGGGGUUGGAUGCACAGGGAAGAGGCUGAGCACCAAGACAUGUGGACCAGUCAGGACUAGAGACCUCCUUCCUUCCAGACAUGCACACUCAGCCACGCUGGAGAUGACAAAACCUUACACACUCAAAGCCAAUACAUGCGUAGGGGCGGCCACAUGCCACGCACUGUUCUAAAUAUCUUGUACAAACUCAGCUAAUCCUCAGGACAAUUCUCAUUUUACAGAUGAGGAGACCGAGGCACAGCGUGGUGAAGUGACUUGUUCAUGGUCACAUAGGUGGUAAGGCAGUGAGGUGGAACUUGAACCCAGACAAGCAGCCUCCACUCCCCCGACCUGCUCACCUCUAACUCAGGCCGCUCUUCGAAGACAACCUGAAGAUUUUUCUUUGCAAUCGAUAGUCUAGAGCAGGAGUCUCCAAGGGGAGAGACCAUGUCCCACUGGGAGCCCAAAGCACUCCAGGGAGGGUAGGAAAAAAAUAUGAGAGCUUUUGUAUUGAUUUUGUUUCCUCACUCCUGUUUCCUUCUCUCCCCUUGUGGGUGAGGGCGAGUGAGCAGUUGAUCAUCUCUUAAACCAGGGCUGCCAGAGCCAGAGCCAGAGCCAGAAAAUGGAGUGCCUUCCUUCCUUCCUUUCCUUCCUUCCUUUCCUUCCUUCCUUCCUCCCUCCCUCUCUUUUUUUUUGAUGGAGUCUAGCUCUGUCGAC